rnacentral:rRNA from 1 species
UACGUAGGGGGCGAGCGUUGUCCGGAUUUAUUGGGCGUAAAACGCUUGUAGGUGGCUACGUCAAGUCGGACGUGAAAUCUCCCGGCUUAACUGGGAGGAGUCGCUCGAUACUGGCGAGCUCGAGGCAGGUAGGGGGAAGCGGAAUUCCCGGUGUAGUGGUGGAAUGCGUAGAUAUCGGGAGGAACACCAGUGGCGAAGGCGGCUUCCUGGACCUGUUCUGACACUGAGGAGCGAAAGCGUGGGGAGCGAUCCGG